AACGCUAGCUACAGGCUUAACACAUGCAAGUCGAGGGGCAGCAUGAACUUAGCUUGCUAAGUUCGAUGGCGACCGGCGCACGGGUGAGUAACGCGUAUCCAACCUUCCGUACACUCAGGAAUAGCCUUUCGAAAGAAAGAUUAAUACCUGAUGGUAUGAUGAGAUUGCAUGAAAUCAUCAUUAAAGAUUCAUCGGUGUACGAUGGGGAUGCGUUCCAUUAGAUAGUAGGCGGGGUAACGGCCCACCUAGUCUACGAUGGAUAGGGGUUCUGAGAGGAAGGUCCCCCACAUUGGAACUGAGACACGGUCCAAACUCCUACGGGAGGCAGCAGUGAGGAAUAUUGGUCAAUGGGCGCGAGCCUGAACCAGCCAAGUAGCGUGAAGGAUGAAGGUCCUACGGAUUGUAAACUUCUUUUAUAAGGGAAUAAAGUCACCCACGUGUGGGUGUUUGUAUGUACCUUAUGAAUAAGCAUCGGCUAACUCCGUGCCAGCAGCCGCGGUAAUACGGAGGAUGCGAGCGUUAUCCGGAUUUAUUGGGUUUAAAGGGAGCGUAGGCGGGCGAUUAAGUCAGCGGUAAAAUAGUGUGGCUCAACCAUACUCCGCCGUUGAUACUGGUUGCCUUGAGUGCACACAAGGAAGAUGGAAUUCGUGGUGUAGCGGUGAAAUGCUUAGAUAUCACGAAGAACUCCGAUUG
rnacentral:rRNA from 1 species